AUUCGGAUUCUAGAGCUCAUUCUAUGUGGUAGCUCUGCCUUUCAUUCACUAAUUUUUUAUUGAGGUUUUGUUUCAUUGCUCUUCUGAAGGAUAGAAGGCACAGAAGACUGGCCCCUACCCCCAAGACAGUUUAGCUUGGAAGUAAAGUCAAUGUCUCCUUACAGGAUUGAGCCUUUAUGUAUGUGCCAAAAAUUAUGUAUUUGUGUGCCCCAAAUACAGGGGUAUAGAUGGGAACAGAGACAUAGAAAGAUGGAGGAGGUUACUAGGAACUGAAGGCUCCAGAAGACUUCACAGGGAGGCAGGACACAAUGUGUGAGAGAAGUCUGUCCCAUUCUCUCCUGUCCCCAGCACCUUAGUCACAUACCCCCAGGACAGUGCUGCCCCAAAUGUUUGGGUCAGAGGAAAGUGUUUGACCUCCCUUUUGGGAGCUGCCUCUUUCGAAGUGAUGUUUAUGACAAUGGAUCCUCAUUUCUGUACGAUAACUGCACAGCUUGCACCUGCAGGGACUCUACUGUGGUUUGCAAGAGGAAGUGCUCCCACCCUGGUGGCUG
rnacentral:sRNA from 1 species